rnacentral:rRNA from 1 species
UGGGGAAUAUUGCACAAUGGGGGAAACCCUGAUGCAGCGACGCCGCGUGGAGGAAGAAGGUCUUCGGAUUGUAAACUCCUGUUGUUGAGGAAGAUAAUGACGGUACUCAACAAGGAAGUGACGGCUAACUACGUGCCAGCAGCCGCGGUAAAACGUAGGUCACAAGCGUUGUCCGGAAUUACUGGGUGUAAAGGGAGCGCAGGCGGGAGAACAAGUUGGAAGUGAAAUCCAUGGGCUCAACCCAUGAACUGCUUUCAAAACUGUUUUUCUUGAGUAGUGCAGAGGUAGGCGGAAUUCCCGGUGUAGCGGUGGAAUGCGUAGAUAUCGGGAGGAACACCAGUGGCGAAGGCGGCCUACUGGGCACCAACUGACGCUGAGGCUCGAAAGUGUGGGUAGCAAACAGGAUUAGAUACCCUGGUAGUCCACACUGUAAACGAUGAUUACUAGGUGUUGGAGGAUUGACCCCUUCAGUGCCGCAGUUAACACAAUAAGUAAUCCACCUGGGGAGUACGACCGCAAGGUUGAAACUCAAAGGAAUUGACGGGGGCCCGCACAAGCAGUGGAGUAUGUGGUUUAAUUCGACGCAACGCGAAGAACCUUACCAAGUCUUGACAUCCAUCGACGACUAUAGAAAUAUAGUUUUCCUUCGGGACGGUGAGACAGGUGGUGCAUGGUUGUCGUCAGCUCGUGUCGUGAGAUGUUGGGUUAAGUCCCGCAACGAGCGCAACCCUUAUGGUCAGUUACUACGCAAGAGGACUCUGGCCAGACUGCCGUUGACAAAACGGAGGAAGGUGGGGAUGACGUCAAAUCAUCAUGCCCUUUAUGACUUGGGCUACACACGUACUACAAUGGCGUUAAACAAAGAGAAGCAAGACCGCGAGGUGGAGCAAAACUCAGAAACAACGUCCCAGUUCGGACUGCAGGCUGCAACUCGCCUGCACGAAGUCGGAAUUGCUAGUAAUCGCAGAUCAGCAUGCUGCGGUGAAUACGUUCCC